GCCAAGUUGUGCGCUGCUUGCCUGGUAACCAUUGGCAACUGUAUCCGUGGCAGCCGUGGACUGGACAAGCUAUGUAUCAAUGUGGGGAUGGAUGGCUCUGUCUAUACAGAACACCCCAAGUUUAGUGAGCGGCUGAAGGAGACUGUGGCCAUCCUGGCCCCAAAAUGUAAACUCACUUUCCAUGUUUCUGAGGAUGGCAGCAGGAGAGGGGCAGCCAUAUUGGCAGCCAUGACUCAGGGGCGGGCCGAUCAACCUAAGCAAGCCCUCAUGUGAUGGAGAGGAGGAGGAUGAAGGGAACGCACAGGGGAAAUUAAUCUAUGUAUUGCAACAUUUGAUUGUUAUAAUGAAAAUAUGUUAACCAUUUAUAGGCACUUUAUGUAACACUAUAAUAAAGCAUAUACUUUUUUUCACACGU